GCCUGCACGCUUCUCUCUCUCCCUCCGUCCCUCUCAUAAAAAAUUGGGUUAAAUCGCCUCCGACCCGAUUACAGGUCGAUAAGGCCUUCAAAAUCGUGUCAACGCGCCGAUCCGGCGAAAAGGAGAGUGAAAUUGUGCUUGGGAACGAGGAAUUCAAGGAGUUCUCAGUGGAGGUAUUUUCGGACGCUGUCGUUUCGUGUGCAGGGAAAGAGCUUCUAAAGCGGGUUCCGGUUGGUGCUUUGGGGAUCGCUGGCGUUGGUGCGGUGGUGAAGCCUGGGAAAGAAUUAAUUGCGGCGGCGAUUGGUGCUUACGCGCUCGGUGUUGCAACAUCGGUAUACGUCAGCUUGGCUUAAACGUAUUUUUUUUGUUUUUUUUUUAAAUUACAAAAAUGAAUAAAAGUUUUUACAAGUUUGGUUAAGCCCAAAAGUACAAAUUAGUCAUGUUUUAAAUUAUUAUAACCCCUAAU
rnacentral:misc_RNA from 1 species